rnacentral:rRNA from 16 species
GUUUGAUCCUGGCUCAGGAUGAACGCUGGCGGUAUGCUUAACACAUGCAAGUCGUACGAGGGGCAACCCUAGUGGCGGACGGGUGAGUAACACGUGAGAAUCUACCUUUAGGAGGAGGAUAACAGCUGGAAACGGCUGCUAAUACUCCAUAUGCUGGGAAGUGAAACAGAGAAAUCUGCCUGAAGAUGAGCUCGCGCCUGAUUAGCUAGUUGGUGGGGUAAAGGCCUA